UUAUACCUUAAACAUUUCACUUAUAUUUACUUUAAAAUUAGUGAAAUUUCAGCCAUUAAAUUACUUAGAAAAAAAAUAAUUGCGAAAUAAAUCAUAAAAAGACCAACAUAAUUUAAUUUCUUUAUUCAACUUUUAAGGCUUCUUCACACAUUCACAAGCCACUAAUAUUGUGCACUUAUCGGAUCUUCUGGAUACAUUUACAAAUCCCUGUUUCGGGCGGUUUUUCUGUUUCUCCUAAAAAUGAAAAUAUGCAGCUUGGAACCAAAGGAAGGAUACACACAAGACCUCGACAUUCGUCAUUACUUCGGCAAACAAUCUCAGCUAAUAAGAAUUAAGGAACAUUAUCAAAAUGGGGUGAAACAAUAUUGAAUAAAAGAAUAUAAAGCUAAAUUAUUAUGUAUCUUUUCUUUUUGACAAAAAAAAUUAGGUAUCUUGGUUUUUGUUGUAUGCCGGUUUCUUUAGACAAAAUUCAUUUAAAAUUUAAUUUUUUUUUGUCAUGUAGUUUACUGGUUAGAAAUUUCACUUUUAAGACGAAUAAGUGGACUGAUCGGGGUUCGAAUCCCGACCCCAAUAUAUAUAAUGCAUUAUCUUUGUCAACUGAGCUAAGGUCACGGGAUAAAUUUAAAUUUAUUUUAAUAAAAAGUAUGGUUAAAUAAGUUUUUUAUGCUUAUAAAUAUCGCAAAUUUUGUUUUUAAUUUAUAUAAAAAAUUUCAGCAAAUUUUGAUUUCCUAAAUAUUUUUUUGUCAUAAUUUUUUAUUUCUAUUUUUAAAUCAACUCAUGUAUACUUUCGUAUUUCUGAAUGAGUGUUUGUUUUCAUGUUUACAAUAAUAUAAAAAUUUCUCCCACAAAAAUUUAGAAUUUUUUAAUAUAUAAUAUGAAUUAAAUAUUAUUAUUGUUUUAAGCGGCAAAAACUUAAAAUUCAUAUUUAGCUCAUUCCUUGUUAUAAAAAACUAAAUUUUUGUAAGAGUAGUUUAUAUAAUGUACUAAUCAGCACAGAAAACAAAUCAAGUAAUAUAUAUGAGUUGGCUCAAAAGAAGAGACUGAAAAUCAUAGGAAAAUAAUUGAGAAUCAAAACUUGCUGAAUUAUUUAUGGAUCAAAACUUGAGAUAAAGACAAAAAAUUUGCUUAACUCUAUAAAUUAAUAUAAAAUAUGGCAUGAUAUUGAAUUUUAUAUAAAAAUACCACAACCAAAUUAAACUUGAGGUACUAGUGUUGACCAAAUUUAAAAGCGUUAAUAAAAAUUACUUACUGCUAUUUGUUGUAGAAAUAAAUAUGGAAAAAAAUAAAAUCAUAGCAUAAAUAAACAUAUAAACUUUAACCAUAUUUAUUCUUUUAUGAAUAUAGAAAUAUAGAAAUUAUUUGAUUGCUCUAUAGUGUGAAAAAAA
rnacentral:lncRNA from 1 species